CUGAACAGACACAAACACAGUAUGUCCAGGUUGGAUCAAGGAAGACUACAUUGUGUCAUUAUAUUCGUAGAACUUUUUCAGCUCCACACUGUUCUGAUAGAUUCUUUACUUUGUGUACAUCAAAUGGUGUAGCAGACAGUUCAGCAGAUGUGGAAUAUAUG